rnacentral:rRNA from 1 species
UACAGAGGGGGCAAGCGUUGUUCGGAAUUACUGGGCGUAAAGGGCGCGUAGGCGGCUUUGCAAGUGACGGGUGAAAUCCCUCGGCUUAACCGAGGAACUGCCUGUCAGACUGCAUGGCUUGAGACCAGGAGAGGUGAGUGGAAUUCCCAGUGUAGCGGUGAAAUGCGUAGAUAUUGGGAGGAACACCAGUGGCGAAGGCGGCUCACUGGACUGGUACUGACGCUGAGGCGCGAAAGCGUGGGGAGCAAACAGG